GUGUGUGUAGGUCAGAGGAUAACUUUCUAGAGUUGGUUCUCCCCUUCUGCCAUAUAGGUUUUUAGAAUUGAACUUGGGGUAUCACACUUAGUGGCAAGCACCUUUACCCACUGAGUUUCUCUUGCUGGGCUGGUCAUUUUUAUUUAAACAUCACUCUGCCAUUUUAUAUGAUUCCAGCAUCUGCAGAUUUUGCUGUGGAAGGCAUAUUCUGGAGUCAUCUGUUGACACCUUUACAGGAUGGGUGGAGGCAUUUCCCAUCCCCAGGGAUAGAGCAGAUGUGGUGGCUCAGGUACUCCUUGAACACAUCAUCCCUUGGUUUGGCUAUUUGGCAUGCCACGGACUAUCCAAGCGGACAACACCCAACCUUCACUUCCAGGGUCAUUGAGCUUGUGUCUGAAGCCCUCAGCAUCUCCUGGAAAUUCCAUAUCCUCACAAGCUCCUAGGAUAUCAGCACUGGUACUAUGUCUCCAGGCUCCAGUGGGCACCUAUCUAAGUCUGCCCAGCAACUGGGACACUCCACCCUGAAGUUUUCCAAAACAUCCCAGUGAAGGGCCUAUCUGCUCUUCUGUCCUGGCAUUUACCCUUGCCUUUCCUGUACAAUCAGGGCACAUCUCCAUUCCAUUCUUUCUGGCAGUCUCCACUCUUCACAUGGCUAGCCCUGUUCAUAGGGCUGGUGUUAAUAAUCUAUUUUUUUUUCUCCUAGCAACUCGCCUUCUCUUCUUCCUCAAGAAACAGAUUCCUGAGGUCAUGAUCCUUAACCAGAUGCUUCCUCACCCAUACCUCCUGAUGAGCGGGAGCCCCACUGACUCCCAAUUCCCCCUCCCCAUGUCAUCUUGUGCCAACAGGAAGUAGCCAGACUUGAACCAGUACCCACAUAUCCAAGAUGGUUGGGAAUGUUUGGUUGGAAAGUCUGCCUCUCAGUUCCAUUCCUCCCUCUCCAGACCCUGCCCACCUCAGAAAGACCGCAAACAUCCAGGCUCCUCCCCCAAAGCUCAAGACUGUGCCUACAAGGUAUUUAAGCACCGCCCCCUCUGUUCCAAGACCUGCCAUGUGAUCUCCCACCACCUCUAGGGAGCUAGAAAGGUCACCCAAGAGUGCUUGGCUCCUUAAACCUGGUCUUUUUAAUUCGACUUAAUCUGGCUUACUGAGACGGCGGAGAAACCUAAUAUAGGGAUAUAAAAAAUCCUAUCAGAUACUAUUUUUUUUGUGGUAUUGGAACUUUAUCUUUAAUAAAUUACUUUAUCUUUUGUUUUUUGUAGUACCGUGCAUUGAACCUAGGACCUCGCACAUGCUAGGAUGCGCUCUACCACCCAGCUACAUCUCCAGCCCCUCUUUCAGGAUAAUUUAUAUUUGAAAUUAUCCAAGCUGGUCUUGAGCUUUGGGCUUCUCCUACCUCAGCCUCAGGAGAGGCUGAGGUGGCAGGCUUGUAGGACCAGGCCCAGCUUCUGUUCCUUCCAUCUACUUAAAGAACAUGCUCACUAAGAAGCAACUGGUGAGCUUUGCUUAAAGCAACUUUCAUGCCACCUUGCAGCGAAGGCAUCACCGCUGGGGCCCUUUCCGUUUUGUUCACGAAUGAGGGAGCAUUUCAAGUCAGUGUAGGCGAACAAACCAUGUCAGUGUCACAGGGCCUCUUCGCACACUGGGGUUCAUCUUUGGCCUCGAGUUCAUCCGAGUCUCCAUGCUCUCAGGCCCCCCCCAUCGGGCAUCUCUACAAUAAAGAGUGGGAGGAAAGCACAUGUCUGUGUUUUCACCACCAGUGAUGAGUGGUCUCAGGAAGGGUAACUUGGGCCGAGCUAACGGUACCUUCUUCCCUGUCCUUUCUGGAAUUCAUUAAGUUAAUACACUGUUGCCGGCAUGGGGCAGCGUCUUUGAUGGUGAGUACAGUUAAAUGCCUCUUUAGACAUGUCAUUGACUAACUGACACAGGGAGGUGCGUGGAGUGUGGUUGGCUUCGGGGCAGGGCGGGGGAGGAAGAAAAGAAGUGUCGCUCUCUAUAUUUUUUCACUUAAAAAUGCUUCUUAACAAUCCCUUGCAGCUGGCGGGAGGCUAAGGUUUCUCACACUCGGAAAGGAAGUCAGGCCAUAAAUAACCCAGGCAGGCACACCUGGAAAGAAUAACGCUUUUCUAGGCGCUCCGCUGUGUGGAGGAUGGAUGCCAGUCUGUGUGACAGGCUCCCCCGCCCCAGCAAGCAAUGAUGGACUCAGAGAAGGAUACUGGUACUCUCAGAACCAGAGACUGCGGAACUUUCCAGAAGUUGUGGUGGUUAUUACACUUAGGGAUGGGACUCAGAGGGCAAAGAUAAGCAAUGCUGUCUUCAUCUGAACACAGAACAACAACUUGUGUUGGGUCAGGAGGUAGCUCAGUAGCCUUAGGGAGGUGGAGGCAGGACCACCCUUAGGGACUGCAAGACGGCACACUUGUGAACUCUAGGCUGAGUGAGAGAUCCUGUCUCAAAAUACAGGUGGAGAACAGAAGGCUACACUCGAUGUUUGGUCAGACAAGUCUGCUGGGAAUCCUGGAUGCUUCCGGGGAGCCACUUGGCCGCUGAUACUAGCUGUGAUGUUCAGCCCAUCCUCUGGAGGCCCUUUACAGAUUUUAAGCUGGAGUAACCCAGCCUCCCUAGGAGCCAGGCACAGUGGAAAGCAGUUGGUAGCACUAGCCUGUAUUCUGGAAAGUGUGCAUCUGCCUUUCUUCCUUGGAUGCUGGGUUCGUGUCUAGGCCACAAGAUAGAAGAGUGCGACACAUCCACCCUGAGUGGGACUGGGGAAUACACACUUCUUAGUAAAUUGGUCUCCAAGAUCAAACCACUGCAUCAGUGGACCCUAGUACAGAGAGAGCACCAAGCCUCAAGACCCCAGACAGCCUGCCGAGAGAGCCCUUCAGGAUCUAUGACUCUUUCUUUAUGUAGCCUCUUCCCCAAAUCCAGGCUGUGCCACCUGGGGUGAAGCCAGAAUGAUGAGAGUUGCCACUGAUUUUUAAGUCAAAACAUAUUUGACUUUGAAUCUUGAAGAAGACUGUUGUUCUAUUAAUUAAACAACUAAAAACACAGAUUGAGCACACACAGGACCGAACGCUGAGAUCAUGUGACCCUUGGGAUGAAGCUGGGAACUGUAGUGCAGAGUUUUAUAUACCCAAGAGGAGAAGAACAACAUCCUAACUGAAAAGACUUGAUCUUUUUUUUUCAUCCACAAGGGCAUGUGUCCCACAUCAUUCAAGUAUGGUAAAUCUUGGCAUAUCGUUUAUUUAUACUACAUUUCAUUUUAGCUUCAGUGUUAGGGAAGGGAUAACCGAAAAAUAUUCUCUUGUGCCAACAAGAUGGCUGAGUGGGUGAAGGUGCUUGCGGCCAAAUCAGGUGACCAGGACCCACACGGUGGAAAGAGAGAAUUGACUCCUACACGUUGUCCUCUGACUUCCACACUCACAUG